rnacentral:rRNA from 1 species
AGCAGCCGCGGUAAUUCCAGCUCCAAUAGCGUAUAUUAAAGUUGUUGCAGUUAAAAAGCUCGUAGUUGAACUUCGGGGUUCACCCAUUGGUCAGGCUUAAUUGUCUGUACUGGUGAGAUGAAUCUCUACCUUCUGAGGAACUUUCAUGCCAUUUAUUUGGUGUGAUGGGAAAUCAGGACUGUUACUUUGAAAAAAUUAGAGUGUUUAAAGCAGGCUAACGUCUGAAUACAUUAGCAUGGAAUAAUGAAAUAGGACGGAUUGAUUCUAUUUCGUUGGUUUCUAGGAUCACCGUAAUGAUUAAUAGGGAUAGUUGGGCAUUAGCAUGGAAUAAUGAAAUAGGACGGAUUGAUUCUAUUUCGUUGGUUUCUAGGAUCACCGUA